rnacentral:rRNA from 1 species
GAUGAACGCUGGCGGCGUGCCUAAUACAUGCAAGUCGAGCGAACAGACGAGGAGCUUGCUCCUCUGACGUUAGCGGCGGACGGGUGAGUAACACGUGGAUAACCUACCUAUAAGACUGGGAUAACUUCGGGAAACCGGAGCUAAUACCGGAUAAUAUAUUGAACCGCAUGGUUCAAUAGUGAAAGACGGUUUUGCUGUCACUUAUAGAUGGAUCCGCGCCGCAUUAGCUAGUUGGUAAGGUACGGCUUACCAAGGCGACGAUGCGUAGCCGACCUGAGAGGGUGAUCGGCCACACUGGAACUGAGACACGGUCCAGACUCCUACGGGAGGCAGCAGUAGGGAAUCUUCCGCAAUGGGCGAAAGCCUGACGGAGCAACGCCGCGUGAGUGAUGAAGGUCUUCGGAUCGUAAAACUCUGUUAUUAGGGAAGAACAAAUGUGUAAGUAACUAUGCACGUCUUGACGGUACCUAAUCAGAAAGCCACGGCUAACUACGU